rnacentral:rRNA from 1 species
GAAAUGCGAUAAGUAAUGUGAAUUGCAGAAUUCAGUGAAUCAUCGAAUCUUUGAACGCACCUUGCGCCCCUUGGUAUUCCUUGGAGCAUGCCUGUUUGAGUAUCAUGAAAUUCUCAAAGCAAAUCUUUUGUUAAUUCGAUUGGUUUUGUUUUGGACUUGGAGGCCUUGCAGAUUCACGUCUGCUCCUCUUAAAAACAUUAGCUGGAUCUCAGUGAGCUCGGUUCCACUCGGCGUGAUAAGUAUCACUCGCUGAGGACACCCCUAAAAAGGUGGCCAGGAUUCGCAGAUGAACCGCUUCUAAUAGUCUAUUAAAUUGGACAACAUACUUUAUGAUCUGAUCUCAAAUCAGGUAGGACUACCCGCUGAACUUAAGCAUAUCAAUAAGCGGAGGAAAAGAAACU